AGAGUUUGAUCCUGGCUCAGAAUCAACGCUGGCGGCGCGCUUAACACAUGCAAGUCGAACGGGAAAGUGGGCAACCAUGAGUACAGUGGCGUACGGGUGAGUAACACGUGGGUGAUCUACCUCUUAGUGGGGAAUAACCCUGGGAAACCGGGGCUAAUACCGCAUAAGCUCGAGAGAGGAAAGCAGCAAUGCGCUGAGAGAGGAGCCCGCGGCCGAUUAGCUAGUUGGUAGGGUAAGAGCCUACCAAGGCAGAGAUCGGUAGCCGGCCUGAGAGGGCACACGGCCACACUGGCACUGAAACACGGGCCAGACUCCUACGGGAGGCAGCAGUGGGGAAUCUUGCACAAUGGGGGCAACCCUGAUGCAGCGACGCCGCGUGAGCGAUGAAGCCCUUCGGGGUGUAAAGCUCUUUCGGCAGGGAAGAUGAUGACGGUACCUGCAGAAGCAGCUGCGGCUAACUACGUGCCAGCAGCCGCGGUAAUACGUAGGCAGCGAGCGUUGUUCGGAGUUACUGGGCGUAAAGGGUGUGUAGGCGGUCUUUUAAGUUUGGUGUGAAAUCUCCCGGCUCAACCGGGAGGGUGCGCCGAAUACUGAGAGACUUGGAGUGCGGGAGAGGAAAGUGGAAUUCCUGGUGUAGCGGUGAAAUGCGUAGAUAUCAGGAGGAACACCGGUGGUGUAGACGGCUGUCUGGACCGUAACUGACGCUGAGACACGAAAGCGUGGGUAGCAAACAGGAUUAGAUACCCUAGUAGUCC
rnacentral:rRNA from 1 species